rnacentral:rRNA from 1 species
GUCGAACGCUGGCGGCGUGCUUAACACAUGCAAGUCGAGCGGAGCGGCGCACGGGUGAGUAACGCGUGAGUAACUGCCCCCCUCUCUGGGAUAACAGUUGGAAACGGCUCCUCAUUCCGGAUAGUGGGGAUGGACUCGCAUCCUAUCAGCUUGUUGGUGGGGUAGUGGACUCCCAAGGCGACAACGGGUGGCCGGUCUGAGGGGGCGACCGGCCACAUAGGGCUGAGGUACGGCCCAAACGCCUACGUGAGGCAGAAGUGGGGAAUAUUGCACAACCGGGGAAACUCUGAUGCAGCAACGCCGCGGGUGGAAUGACGGCCUUCGGGGUGUAAACAGCUUUGAGCCAUGACGCGGUAGUGGCAGAAGAAGCACCGGCUAACUACGUGCCAGCAGCCGCGGUAAUUC